UAGGGAAUCUUCCACAAUGGACGCAAGUCUGAUGGAGCAACGCCGCGUGAGUGAAGAAGGUUUUCGGACCGUAAAGCUCUGUUGUUGGUGAAGAAGGAUAGAGGUAGUAACUGGCCUUUAUUUGACGGUAAUCAACCAGAAAGUCACGGCUAACUACGUGCCAGCAGCCGCGGUAAUACGUAGGUGGCAAGCGUUGUCCGGGUUAUUUGGCUGGUAAGCG
rnacentral:rRNA from 1 species